UGUAUUUUUGGAGGGAAGGGUGUGCUUGUCUUCAUGGGUUGUUUAAGAUGCAUUUUGGUGAGAAAGCAGACAUCAAGAUUUGAGUUCAUAUGGUCUUGCAGCGCCAUUUAUUCCCAGGGAUCACAGUAAGCCUACUGCCCUGCUCCUAAAGAAGCUGUUCCCUGGGAAUACAUCAGGGAACAAGGGUUUAUAUGUAUCCUAGGCUACAGCUGGUGAAUGCCAUGCCACUCACUGCAGGGCCAUGAAAACCUUGAUUGCAGUUUGGAUUGCUGUAAUUAGCACUUUGUAUUUGCACUAUGCAUUUUAAAUCAGGUGCACAUUAAUACAUCAGUUAUCAAGUAUGAGCAGCACAGAGCAUCACAAUUUUUAUAAAGACUUAUUCAAAGUAGAUGAUUUUUAAUGUGUGUGAUUAGUUGCAACCAAAAUUACAGUAAUAAAUAAAAUUAUAUACGAAACAGAAUAGGAGGCUUCUACAUAAGAAUGAGGCAAAUGGUAUAACAAAUGCCAAAUUGAUUUCUAAUGCUGGUUCAAAUAAAAUGUUUAGAGGAAUUGCUUAUGCUUGGAUGUCAGUACUGAAAAAUGUGAAGAUCUUGUUUAUUAAAAAUAUUUUAAAGCUAAUAAACUCUGUUAAUGUAGACCAUGCAAGUAUUUGUAAAUGCCUUAAAGAGGCACUAAACACUAAAAUUAGGAGUUGGUUUUAUGCAGCGUGGUGAUGUAAUUCACAGCAACAGAGGAAUCCCAAAUGCUAUGGAGAGUUUGUCUCAAAGUCCCCCUUUGCUCAAAAUUUUCAGCUUCCAAAUGGUGGCUCUGUUCUCUGAAAAUCAUUGUUUGAAUUGGGACUUCUACAGUGCCAGUUUUUGCAAAAGGAUUUUUGAAACUGUGGGGAAAUAUGCUUUGAGGCAGCUCACAAAUUGGGGUUAUUCUUAUGUAUCAAAAUUUAGGCAUUUGCAGGACUGCUCUUUUUGCUGAGACACCACAGAUCAACAGAUUGUAGACAUUAAGCACAAGAGGUAACUUGGACAAAAAAAUGCACUAGUUCCAUGCAGUUUUUGUAUUCUUGUGGAUAUUUUUUAAAGCAGAUACUUUUUUUCCCCCAAAAUAUUUGCUUUGAUUAAUUUGUAUUUCUCAUUCUUUAAAAAGCUGCUAAAACAUUCCCAAGCAGCUGGCUGAGGAGACUUUACACUAGAAAGAUACUGAAACACCAUUGAAUCCAAUCCUCAUGAGCACUGUACUUCUCUAGAGCAGUUUAUUCCCAAAGUCUUCUGUAGGGUUUGAUCAACUGUUUUCUGUUUUCCCUGGCUCUGCUCCACACCUUGCAGUAAUUGCUGUCACCAGCUCUCUCAGUGGCUUCACCCUGAAUAGAUUUUCUGCUCAGUUUCAGAUUUUUCCCAUGUGUCCCAUGGGUUUCCUAAUGGCACUAGUCUGUGCCCCCCAGCUGACAGGGAAAAGGCUUUCUGUUCUCUGUAUUUUGUAUUUUAUGUUUAUUCACCUGUUUCUCCGUUUGUUGCAUAUAUGUUUCAACACAUUUCACCACCUGCUUCCCUCUGGAGCACUGCCAGAUGCCACCUCACCUUUCCAGCCUGCAAAGGGAAGGAAAUGAGCUUCGGGGUGAAGGUGCUGUCCCAAAGGUCAGGGACUCUUUUUUCUUCCUGUAUUUCUUCUAGGCCGCUUUUGUUUUCAUUUUUAGGGAAGGCUAAACCCUUGAGAAGUUUACUCUCAGAUGUCACCUGCACAUUUCUCAUUAAUAAAAAUGAAUUUAUUCCUCUGCCCUGAGGUAACCAGUAACAAAUAUGAGGUAGUUCAUAACAAAUGCGUGUCUCAGAGCACGACUUGACUGCGUAAUUUCACUUGCGGCACUAGACUGGAUGUUAGUCUGUCACUAGAACCCUGCCAGAUUGCCACAGUGACGGUCUGACUGCUAAUUUUCUCUCCCAAUGGUGCAGCAGACAAGAACUCUCCUGAGCUGCAUCCCCACGUUCCUUGCCCUGCCCAAGGACCCAGAGGAGGUGCCUGCAGUGAGAGCAGAGCCCAGGCUCAGAGCAGGCACCGUUGGUGAGCCAGUGUGCAUGGAGGGAUAGCAGUGGGCUGUGCCACAGCCCAUGAGGAAGAUCCUGGAUCGUGUCCGAGUGGGCGCAGCCAUGUGUUGCUGUUUCCACAGAGAUUCCCGCUAUGGAAAGGAAAAAAGCGCUGGGCUUGGUUAAACAUCUGCAUUCUGACUUUUAUUAAAUGAGUUUAUCGCUCAUUUUACUCCUAUCUCUGCCCAUUUAAAAGUGCAAGGAGCCCCCGCUCUGCUGCUGACAUGAAUCAGGAGCACACACUUAAAUGCCAUGGAAUUAUGCUGGUGUAAAUCCAGCCUGAGCCUCCAAACAUGCCAGUAUCACACGUGGCUUCAUAUCUGGGGGGAAAUGGAUGCAAAAUGAAUGAGGUGGAACUGAAGAAUUGCCCCUGCAUAGUCCAUUUCCAGGCUUUUCAGUGGAGCUUAUCACUGUCCUGUCCAGCUCUUGGCUUAAUUUCUUCAUUUGUUAAAGAUAUCUAUUAAAUGGCAAUGGAAAUUCAGGCAGUAUACUUGCAUUAUCUAAUGCCUCUUCAGCGAUACUGCUUUGGCUAAUGUAACACUGUUUAUCCAAUAUUUUCUAAGAGUUGGAGACUAGAAUCUGAUCCGAAAAAUGUAACUCUUUAAUUACUUAAGAAAGCUCAGUGAAAUCAAUGGGUAAAACCACAGAAUUUGAUUAAGCAUUCUGUUAAUUUUUCAUUAUUUCUGUGCACUGUGUGUUGCUCAUUCAUGUUGCUAAUUACUCUUGCAUUUUCCCAAUUUACAUAGAAUAUAAUAUGAAAAAUAAAACCCCAGGCAUUUGUGGUCUGCCCAC